UUUGAUUAGAGUUAGCAACACUGUAUCUUUUCUCAACAACGCGUUAUUUAGAAUCUGUAACAGAUCUAAUUCCUCAACACCUCUCAAAAUGUCAGGUCGAGAAGGUGGUAAAAAGAAGCCCUUAAAACAGCCAAAGAAAGACAAAAAUGAUGUUGAUGAGGAGGACUUGGCUUUCAAACAGAAGCAAAAAGAAGAGCAGAAAGCUUUGAAAGAGGCUGCUGCUAAAGCUGCUUCCAAAGGACCCUUGACAUCAGGAGGUAUCAAGAAAUCAGGAAAGAAAUAACCAUUACUAUAAAUGUAGAGCCAGCUAUCAUGUCGCCCUUUGUUAUACCUCAUUUGUUGUGUCACAUAACAUCCACAUCUCUUCUCAUUUGCUGAUCAUUUGUGAAAACUCAAUUUUUAUUCUAAUUAAAUGCUGUUUAAAAUUUGGUA
rnacentral:sRNA from 1 species